CUCUAGAUUCAAUGUGUUUUUCUCCAGUGUACAAUUCUAAUCUUUUGGCCCAUUAAUUCGUUCUCUUAUCGUUUUUUUGCUCUCCCACAUUCAACUUAUUGUCAGUUUUUCAUUCCUUCUUAAGAACCGCCAUGUUACAUUACCGCCCCCUAACGGGACACGUUCAGCAUUGCUAAAAUGGAUACAAAGAUGUGUUUAUAGUUGCUGAACUUCCUGAGUAAGAGCAGUGAAUUUUCUUUAAAAAGGAGUAUGAGUUUCAAAAUUUUAUGAACGUUGUAAAUUACGCAGUAUGCAUAUGCGUUUGACGCUUUAGUUAUCUUCCAGAUAUUUUGGACUGCAUCCGGAACCAGCUGAGCACGAAUCAUACCCAAAUAUACACUAUCGUAUAACAGGAUUCAUUUGAUGUAUAUUUAUCCGAAGUAAUGACUCAAAAAGGAAGCGACUUGAUAAAGCAGCAAGGUCUCCAAGUCUACCUCAAUACCAACUCCUACGGCGAAUGAUGAUUCGCAUCAAUGAAGAAUUCCACCAACACAUUUAUCAAAACGAUGAUACGAUUUCAUCCUGGCUUGCGCGCAAAAUUGCAAGUUGGACUGAGUGCUUCAGAAAAGAACCAAACCACAUUAAGUUGAAACUGAGAAAAAGAGGUUUGAAGUUGUAUUCCUGCAUAAGGCUCAAUAGAAAAUAAACUUAAUCUCAUCUUUUCACAAA